AAGACACUAGUAAAGUAGUAAAUUACACGGCCUUGUCAAGGCUGAGUCGUGGGUUGAACCCCCACGUGUCUUG
rnacentral:tRNA from 1 species